rnacentral:rRNA from 1 species
CAGCUCUUCAAGUGGUCGGGAUAAUUAUUGGGCUUAAAGUGUCCGUAGCCGGUUUAGUAAGUUCCUGGUAAAAUCGGGUAGCUUAACUAUCUAUAUGCUUGGAAUACUGCUAUACUAGAGGGCGGGAGAGGUCUGAGGUACUACAGGGGUAGGGGUGAAAUCUUAUAAUCCUUGUAGGACCACCAGUGGCGAAGGCGUCAGACUGGAACGCGCCUGACGGUGAGGGACGAAAGCCAGGGGAGCGAACCGGAUUAGAUACCCGAGUAGUCC